UACCAGCCUAGAGAUGUCACCA
rnacentral:sRNA from 1 species